AUUAUUUCUUGGGGAUUCAGAUGUCUCAUGUUCCUGGUGGAAUGAUCCUCAAUCAGCAGAAAGAUAUUUCUGACCUGUUGCAUCAGUUUGACUGUUCUGGUGUGUCUUCUGUUGUUUGUCCUUUAGAUACAAAUGUCAAACUUCUUGCUGAUUCUGGUGACCCAUUACCCUCUCCUGAUCAAUAUAGGAGUUUGGUGGGUAAGCUUUUAUUUUUGACACAUACCAGACCUGACAUAUGCUUUGCUGUACAGCAUCUAAGUCAAUUUCUCAAAUGCCCUAGAGUACCUCAUAUGAAUGCUGCUUUUCAUGUGUUGAGAUAUCAUAAAGGCACUUCCUCUGUGGGCCUCUUCUACUCUGCCAAUGAUGUUUUUUCUUUGAGCGGUUACUCUGACAGUGAUUGGGCUGCCUGCCCUGAUACCAGAAGGUCUGUUACUGGAUUUUCUAUUCUUCUGGGAGAUUCUUUGGUUAGCUGGAAAUCCAAGAAACAACCUGUUGUAUCUUUAUCAUCUGCUAAGGCAGAAUAUCGGGCUUUGAGCAAACUUGUGGCUGAACUUUCCUGGUUAUCUCAUUUAUUAUCUGAUCUUGGUGUUACUGUCCCACUCCCUAUAUCUGUUUAUUGUGAUAGUCAAUCUGCCAUACACAUUGCUACUAAUCCAGUUUUUCAUGAACGCACAAAGCACAUUGAGGUGGACUGCCAUUUUGUACGUGAUCAGGUCAAUGCUGGCUUCAUUCAGUUGCUUCAUGUUUCCACUUCUCGACAACUAGCUGAUUUUCUCACAAAGCCCAUCACUGGGACUGCUCUUCAUCCUUUGCUGUCCAAGUUGCAGGUGGUGUCCCCCUCCAACUUGAGGGGGGGUGUUGACAUUACUUAGAGUUGUACAAUUUGUUUUGUAUGUGUGAUGUAUAUAAAGUGUAUAUAGUAUAGGAGUAUUGGGCUGUGAUGUUAAAUUGAGACUGUCAUUUUGUAUGUGAUCAGUUCAAUGCUGGCUUCAUUCAGUUGCUUCAUGUUUCCACUUCUUGACAACUAGCUGAUUUUCUCACAAAGCCCAUUACUGGGACUGCUCUUCAUCCUUUGCUGUCCAAGUUGAAGGUGGUGUCCCCCUCCAACUUGAGGGGGGGUGUUGACAUUACUUAGACGUUUGAGUAGUUGUACAAUUUAUUUNN
rnacentral:lncRNA from 1 species